GGUCUUAUAGUCAAAAUUUAUGAUUUCAAAUUGCAAGUUUGAGAGUGGGUGAAGCCCUAAGGCUU
rnacentral:tRNA from 1 species